ACCUAUAGUUAUUUUGUCUAUUUUGUCACAAUAGUUUGUCAGAUUUGCAUUCUCCUCUCCUCCCUCUGAAUCUCUGAUCCUUUAUUAUUACCAAUUCUUUUACAUUUUCAAUCUGUUUACUUCCAUCACCAAAAGAGAUUGAGAUGCUUCUCGAACCUUUUGAUAACCACCCCACCGAUUCACCGAUUAUUCUCCACCGCCUUAUCUCAUGUAUUUGAUUUUUUUCUCACUGCCUCCAUCAGAUGCUCAUACGCUCUCCACCGGUCAUCCUCCUACAACAGACUUUUUUUUCUUCAUCCCUCUGCCUCUGCAAUCGAUUCGAUUUUGCUUCUCUUCUACUUUCGUUUUCCUCUCUUACUCCACUUCUGCUGUAAUAGAAUCCUUAGAGAUAUAAAAAUGUCGAUCACUUCCACUCGUCGUCUUGUCUGUGCCCUUUUAUUCCAACUCGAAUCUCAGGUCUCUUCGGUAAGAUGAUGUGUUGAUGACGACCGAUGUUGCGGUUUUGUCCAUUCAAAGAAUAUGAUAUCGAAGAAGAAGGCCAAAGGGAUGGAGCAUCGAAUCAGAUUGAGGACAAAAAUGUAACACAAAUAACAGUGUACCGACCUUUUAUCAUAGUUCUUCUGUUUUGUCUUAAUAUUUUACGUUUUUUUUUAUCAAAAUGGUGCAACCUUACACGCCUGUUAUCAUUUUCAGAUUAUUCCCAUUUUUUAUGUCUUGAUGACAGAUGUGUACCUAUUUGAUGCCAUUAUAUAAUGUUUCAUUACAUGAUUUCAAUACAGGUAUGUGGCAGAACAAGAGAAUAAAACUCUCUCUAAUUUAUUCAGGGGUUUGUUCAUGACAUUUGUUGUGUGAAGUAUGUUCUCUUAGAUUCACAAAUUAAAGUCUUUCUUUACUAUUAAUUUAUUUUGUGUUUAUCUAUUUAACUUUGUGCGUAUUUGGUCAUUCAUUGGAUACCCAAGGACAAUUAAGUUAGAAUUCCCAAUCAAAACCUCUUUUUUUAAAUCUCCAUUGGGUCUCAAACCUUAGUCCUAUUCAUGGAUAUAUGGCUUAUAUGUUGCAAAAUUUGUAGUUUGCAUUUGGAUUCCUUAAUUUCAAAACAAUGUUGAUCUAUUGAUACUGCUUUUCAGGGUUCUGUAGCCACAAAGAAACUCAAGGACCUGAAAAGGAAGGCUGGAGCAGAGAGGUUGUUAUGACGAUAUCAUCAGAUAUUAAUAAGUCAUUAAAAAUUUAAAAUAAAAGAUAUUAUUCAGAUUUGGGAUCACAUAAGUAACACAGUUAAGAAGACAACAAGAAGAAAGUUAGACUUUCUACGUUUUGAUCGGCAUCAUGUGCUGGUUCUCUUGAAGAACAGAAAAAGAAGGCAACAAGCAAGAAUACCCACAGGGGUCGAAGAGGCGAUCCUCUGCUUCCGACAUUGCAUCUUCAUGUAUGUUUUUUUCUUCACAUGGAUGUGGAUUAAGUUUUAUUUGACAACAGAUGGAAUUUCCCUUUGGGCCAAACUGAUUACGCAUCUAUUUCUUGAUGUUAAUUCUUAAUUGAAUAUUGUAACUUUCGAACCAUGGCUAAAAAAAUGAAGAUGAUAGCAAAAAGUACGGGCUGAAGUUAGCAUUAUCGGAGCAAA